GGACCGUUGGCCCAAUGGCAAGGCGUCUGACUACGAUCAGUUCAGUUUACCAACUGAGCAUGAAAGCGCAAUCAGGAGAUUCUGGGUUCGACCCCCAGGCGGUCCU